ensembl:lncRNA
CCAUUGGUUUGGAAAUUUUUGUUCUGUCUUAAUUCUAUGGUAAUUUUGCAUAAAUCUUUUCAUACUUUCCCAUGUAAAUUCAGGCCCAGCCUCUCAUGAGACUAGUUCUUUGGCUGCAGAUUCUCAGUGGAAAUCAAUCUUUUUCCAGCAAAAAGAGGAAGAUUGGCAACAGAUGUUAGCUCAGGGCCAAUCUUCCUCACACACACACACACAAAAGAGCUCUUUUGAAAUUAUACCACAUGGAAAGUGAAGUUCAUGUAUCUUUUAGCUUAUCCUAAGCAAGUGAAAAGUAAAAAUAAUGUUUUCUAUUUUAACACUAACUACAAGGAAAAGACAUAUUUUAUAAGAUUUGUAGCUGUGAAUCUCAAGACGCCUUUUGAAGAGUUAGGGAAAAUUACUAGAGAAGAGGGAGAAAGAGAGACAUCCUGUCUCCAUCCUUCGUACACUCUCUUCGUAGGCCUCAGAAGAUUUCUCAUUAUUUGCUGUCUCAAUAAACCUAUGUAUUUCUUUCUUUAUAGAAUUACGCUUUAUUUUUCCGGAUUUCCAAACUAAUGCCAUUCCAAGGGAGUGACAUAUUUCUUUCACUUUUUCUUGACAAGACUUUAAUAUUCUUCCUGUGAAGUAAUUCUGGGGAUUUAAAAAUAGCAUGUAAAAAUCACUUCUACUUUCAGCCUGGACUGGUGAGGUGCAUUCAAAAUAUGAUUUCCAAAAAGUACAGGGGGUGAAAUGGAGGUGCUAUAUUAAUUUUGCAAUGGCCCUGGGAUUUCAAAUUUCAACUUUUGCUUUCUGAGUUCAUCUAUUGUUUGACGUGCAUUAUAAAUAGAAAUUGUCUGGUCCAUUACUCUCUACCUGUAAAUCUUCUACAUUUAGUAAAUAAAGUGUUUGAGAAAGAUUUUGAUUCUCUUAUCUGAGGGUGUCUAAUAAUUUUUAUAAGUGAAUUUAUAAAGCCAGAUACAUUUUAUUAAAUGUUUAUCGAAAAGCGUUGUGCCAGAGAGGUUUGUUUGUUGAGCAAAGGAUUUGAACAAAGAAGAGUCUAUUCUUCAUGUGUUGCAGAGUGUUAUUUAUCACUCAGUGCUGAAUAGACCGUGGAGAAGAUACGAUCUCUGCCCAAUGAGAUGAAAGGACUGUGUUCGUCACUUUCUUCAGUGAAACAGAACCAAUAAUAGAGAUAAAGAUUGAGAUGGAGAUACAUAUUUAUUUUUAAGAAUUGGCUCAUAAGAUCCUGAGGGCGGGCAAAUGUGUAGAGCAGCUGGCAGACUGGAAAUUCAGGUUAACAGACAUCAGAAUCCUGAAAGCUGCCUUCGUGGUAUAAUUCUUGACUGGUCUGGGGAAGUCUGCGUCUUAGCAACCAUGAAGACUAAGAGAGCCGCCAUGCAGAAGGAAAAAGAACAGACUGGUGGAUGCAAAUUCUCUCUAGAAAAAGGAAUUAAUUUACUAAGGAAGACCGGAACGGAGGGAGAAGGACAUCACGGCUAGCUUGCCCUGUGUCCUGGAGGAUGACCGAUGGCACCGAGGACAGAAGCUCUUUGGAUUGGAAAGAGCGGUAAAAUAGGGAGUCAAAUCUAAAGGUGGAUAGGUAGUCCUUUUAUGUGGAGGAAGAUGUGUAUCUUUCAAGAUUUGCUUUUCGAGAUAUUUAUAGAGGAGAUUCUGUGAGAUUCCUGUGACUGGUGACAUUCAGUUCACAACAUGUCAAGGAUUCUGGUCCUCUGAAUCUGCCAAGGAAAGGUGAAGCAGUGUGCAUCGAAGCUAAAAUGAACGCUUCUGUGCGGGGACCAGCAGCCUCCAUAACCCACCAGGCGCUGAGUGCUGCGGGCCGUGGCAGCUGCCAAGUCUGCAUGCAUCCCUAGCAACGCCAGUGAAUGGCAUCCCUGGGGCCGACUUAGGUGAAUCAAAGUUCACACCUUGUGUCUGGGAGGGGAGAUUUUUUUUCAAAGGGUAUUGGCCUUUUGUGCAAGGAAGAACGGAUGGAUGGCCCCUUAAUGGGGGGUCUGUAACUAUCAUAUCUCUAAGGAGGCAUGAGUUUGCUUCCUGCUUUCAAGUACUUAGAGUUCUUCUGUAGUUUCUCUGACCACAGGAAACUAGGCUAAAACUUUGAGAACAGUGUUACAAAAUAGUAGCGAUAUAAUGGCACUUGUGCUUUUUACUUCUAAAUGAGAGAUGUUUGAGGUUGAUAUAUUUUCUCAUUUAAAACAAAUUUUUUCUAUAUUUUUCUUAAUAAGGAUUUUACUUUUAAAAGUGAUGUAUGAAUUUUGAAUUUGACUGCAUUUUGAUACCUGUCGUACCAUUUUGCAAGUUUUCCACUUUACAUAUUGUUUUUGUCCUGUUAGUAUGAAAAAACAAAUAAUGGAUUUAUUGUGUUGAGACAGUCUAACAUUUGGGGGGUAAUUAUGUAUUAAUCAUGAUGUAUUAUUCUAUAAAUGCACAGAAAUAUUAAUUUUUCUAGUAUUUCAUAUUUAAGAUUUAUGGUUUAUAUUAAUAUGAAAGAUUUAUCUGCAAUUUUUUUCUCUUAAUGUACACUAGUUUAUGGUUUUUAUACCAAGCUUAUCCUAUUAUCCUAGUUUUACAAAAUGAGAAUUGUUCUUUCUUUAUGCUGUGCAAAACUUUAAAUGACAAAAGAAUUAUGAAUACCUUCCAGUUGAAACAGCCCGUGACACAGUAUGAGCCUGAGAUCUUUAGGAAAUAGUUUUUUGAAAAUUUCAACAAUUUCUUCCACAAUUAUUGUUCUGUUUAUAUUAGCUAAAUUUUAUAUAGUUGUGGUCAGUUAUUUUGUCUAGAUUUUAACAUAUCGGCAUAAGAUUAUGUAAUGUAUCCAAUGAUGUUUUUUCACUAUAUUUGGAUUAUGUGCUUCUUCUCAUUCCCAAAUUUAUGUAUUUUUACCCUAAUUUUAGUUGAUUAGGAUAGGUAGAGAAAUACAUUUUUGCUGAUUGUAUACUUCAGCUAAUAAAUUUGGUUGUUUUGGGUUCUUAUUUCCUCUAGAAAUGAGAAAAGUUUAUAACAAUAUCAAACAACUAUAACAUUUCUCUCAAAUGGUAUUUGUAGGUUUUAUAGUUUUUCUUCAUACAUUUAAGGGUAUGAUAAAAGAACAGUGAAGAAACCAUGCUGCAUUAUAUUUUUAAAAAAUGGCCUGUGGAGGGGCCAGCCUGGUGGCAUAGUGGUUAAAUUCAUGCACUCCGCCUUGGAGGCCCAGGGUUUGCAGGUGUGGACCCCGGGUGCGGACCUACACACUGUUCAUCGAGCCACACUGUGGCAGUGACCCACAUACAAAAUAGAGGAAGAUUGGCGCAGAUAGUAGCUCAGGGAUAAUCUUCCUCAAGUAAAAAGAGGAAGAUUGAUAACAGAUGUUAGCUUAGGGCCAACCUUCCUCACCAAAAAAAUAAAAAGUAAAAAAUGCCUGUGGAUAUAGACUGAGUGCAAUCCUAGCCCUUCUACUUAACCAGGUCUGGAACUUUGAAGAAAUUACUUCAUCCCCUUCAGUCUUCCUUUUUGCAAUCG